rnacentral:rRNA from 1 species
UACGUAGGGUGCAAGCGUUGUCCGGAUUUAUUGGGCGUAAAGAGCUCGUAGGCGGCUUGGCAAGUCGGGUGUGAAAACUCCAGGCUCAACCUGGAGAUGCCACUCGAUACUGCUAUGGCUUGAGUCUGGUAGGGGAGCACGGAAUUCCUGGUGUAGCGGUGAAAUGCGCAGAUAUCAGGAGGAACACCGGUGGCGAAGGCGGUGCUCUGGGCCAGUACUGACGCUGAGGAGCGAAAGCGUGGGGAGCAAACAGGAUUAGAAACCCUCGUAGUCC